CUUAGGCUACGAUCCACGAAAAGGUAUGAAAUCAAUCCAUAGCUCUUCCUUGUAAUACCCUCUUUAAGUUUCAUGAAGAACUCGAGGGGAGAAACGAGGUGAUCAGAGCUGGGGAGGGCGAGUUUUAGACGGCGGCGCAAAACAUCACGCACGUCUUCUUCCCGUCUGGAGGAAGAAGACGAUGACGUGGCCGGUUCAGUUGAACCGGCCAUGUCAACCAAAAACUCGACCCCUCGAUUUUUCUAAAAUUUAACCCCUUUCCAGAAUGGUUCUCAGAAAAAUCUUUAUGGUUCCAGAAACUAGACACAAUAAGAAGUCUGUGAAAGAAAAUUUAAGGUAAUUCAGGUAUCGGAAGAUCAUGAACAGAGGUCCCGAACGUCGACAACGAGGUUUACUGAUUUCAAAGGACAUAAUCGAACUUUCAUUAAGGAUAUAUUCGUGACAACAACUUAAGUUAACCAGGAAAUCAAGAAGACGUUACAAAGAUGAGGCGUUUCACAGAUAUAAAAUGGGGAACUGAUAUCCAAACAUUCCAUUGUAGCAAGGAAUAAGAGAAGAAACAAACAUUCCAUUGUAGCAAGGAAUAAGAGAAGAAAAGAAUGGCGGGACAAAGCUUGAGAAGUCUCAAAAUUGUGGUGUUCAUCUUCCUAGCCCUUACUUCUGGAUGGAUGGUGGUGCAGACAGAGGGGCGGACAUGCUAUAAGCACAGCGAUGCAUUUAUAGGACCGUGCAUUGCAGCAACAUGUGCUGAACUUUGCAUUUCUUUUGAGAAGUGGGAUGACGGAUUUUGCUCGGGUGAUAAAUGCACUUGUACGAAGCAAUGUGCUGAGUCCAUGCUUUAAUGGGUUUGUAAUUCACCACAGUUGUUGCUAUCUGAAUGUAAUAAGCGACUCCAAUUCUACUGAAUUGCACAACAUGUUUACUAAUCAAAGCUUCCUUCUUCCAUUUUAUAAUUUUUA